CAGUCGUACCGGUCGGGAAUUCAACUUCUUAAGUGCUUGUCGGUGGGUGAUGUUGAGCUUCGCGGCCUUCGUUGUCUUUGCGUUAUGGUUACUUUUGUUGUGCUACUUUUCCGUAUGGUAGGUCAAUAUCGUAUUUUGAUCGUCAAUAAAAUGAUCGGAGGAAUGUGGCUUCGAUCUCGUAUCGGAGUGUUAUAGUCCUUUGGUAGAUGUGACGAUUGGGAUCGAGGAUUGCAACGAAUACCCUUUGGGCUAUCUGUCUGACCUCUG
rnacentral:rRNA from 1 species